UCUUUAACACCCUGUUUCCAUUCCUUGUCUCUUAAUUAUUGGGAAUUGCUCAACGAUCCAUUGCUGUAUUAUUUUACACGAUAAAAUAAUAACCUCUGUCACGAUACACAGGAUUAGGAACAACCAAUGGUAAGUUCAUCAAAGGCAGAAGGAAUCAACAGUGCAGUAUGAUCUGGGAACACACACACAAAGGAGCAGUCGAAAUGAGGGGACCAGGAGAUGACUUAGAUUCGACUUGGAAAAAGGAGACAGCAUCAGAGAUAAUCCAAGGAGCUUAUGGUCGGUUUCCCAAGAUUACUUAUGGAGCCUUGUGAUUACUAAACUGGAACAACAGGGCUUUCCUGAGAGCUCCUGAUCAAAGCACAGCCCAUUUUCUGCUUGACUGUGGCUUCCGCUUGAAAGAGGAAGAUCCAGACACUGAAGUAACAGGAGCGUUCAGCUGUGUCUGUAUUGCGCUCAAAGCUUCCAUCUAGUGGUCAUGACUCUCCUCUGAUUUGUAGCUUGACGAGUUUCUCAGCAUCUUUUUUUGCAUUUACACCUGACUGUAAAAAUAUCUUAAUAUAACAUUUGAACAUAUACCUUUAAUAGCUACAUCAAGAAAAACUGUUCAGGAGAUAAUCCAAUAACACCAUAUGUGUUAAAAGUGUCAUGAAAUUUUAGGUAAUAUUUGGUAAGCCCGUGUUAUUAAUUUUUUGUUUGGUAACAAAGUGAGAUUAUAUUUUGGCUCCAAUUUAUGGAAUAGCACUGCAGUAUUUAUUAUGUGUGGCCCAUUGUUGUUUAAUACAAUCUUGCUAAUUGUUUAUUAAUUUAAAAAAAACAUCAUGUGCUGUGAAAUGUCUGAAUGUUUUCCUGAAGGAACCAUAUUUCUAAAUUGCUUUGCAAUAUGUAAAAAUGGCACCCCGUCCUUUGAGACAGUUAUUUGUUAAUGUCUUGCCUUUUAGGUUCCAGCUUGACAAAGAUU